rnacentral:rRNA from 1 species
UACAGAGGGGGCAAGCGUUAUUCGGAAUUAUUGGGCGUAAAGGGCGCGUAGGCGGCUAUGCAAGUGACGGGUGAAAUCCCUCGGCUUAACCGAGGAACUGCCUGUCAGACUGUGUGGCUUGAGACCGGGAGAGGUGAGUGGAAUUCCCAGUGUAGCGGUGAAAUGCGUAGAUAUUGGGAAGAACACCGGUGGCGAAGGCGGCUAUCUGGACCGACAUUGACGCUGAGGCGCGAAAGCGUGGGGAGCAAACAGG